rnacentral:rRNA from 1 species
GAUGAACGCUGGCGGCGUGCUUAACACAUGCAAGUCGAACGGAAAGGCCCAAGCUUGCUUGGGUUCUCGAGUGGCGAACGGGUGAGUAACACGUGGGUGAUCUGCCCUGCACUUCGGGAUAAGCCUGGGAAACUGGGUCUAAUACCGGAUAGGACCACUUCUUGGAUGUUGUGGUGGAAAGUUUUUUCGGUGUGGGAUGAGCUCGCGGCCUAUCAGCUUGUUGGUGGGGUAAUGGCCUACCAAGGCGUCGACGGGUAGCCGGCCUGAGAGGGUGUACGGCCACAUUGGGACUGAGAUACGGCCCAGACUCCUACGGGAGGCAGCAGUGGGGAAUAUUGCACAAUGGGCGCAAGCCUGAUGCAGCGACGCCGCGUGGGGGAGGACGGCCUUCGGGUUGUAAACUCAUUUCGCUAGGGACGAAGCGUUUUGUGACGGUACCUGGAGAAGAAGCACCGGCUAACUACGUG